AUGGCACCCAUGACAAAGAUAUUGACUUGUUCUUGCUUCAGACCAUUGUUGACAGCGGCAAAGGCAAGUUUCCUGCACUUGCUACUUGGCCAUGCAGAGAAGCUUGGAAUGAUCACAGAAGCUGACAGGGCCGCUGAUACUGGGGAAGGCUGGCUGCAAAAAAGUAAUGUCUGCUAAAAACAGAUCCUUCCAGUAUAAUCAGGAAAUCGUUUCUCUGGUGAAAAUUCUUUGGGAGCUUCCACUCUUAAAACUAUUAUGACCCUGUGCAAUAGCUGAGUGUUAGCAUUUACUGAGUAAUUCAAUCGUGUGACAACUGUGAUGGACUUCCUACGUACAUCUGUCCUCCGGUCAAGUGGAUCAGAGGCUGCCCAACACAACUUUUCCCACCGCAAUCCACUCCUCACUUGAU
rnacentral:lncRNA from 1 species